rnacentral:rRNA from 1 species
AGUGAACGCUGGCGGCGUGCCUAAUACAUGCAAGUCGAACGGACAAGUAAGAGCUUGCUCUUAUGAGUUAGUGGCGCACGGGUGAGUAAUGUAUAGUUAAUCUGCCCUACACUGGAGGACAACAGUUAGAAAUAGGUGCUAAUACCGCAUAAGCGCACAGUUUCGCAUGAGACAGUGUGAAAAACUCCGGUGGUAUACGAUGGAUCCGCGUCUGAUUAGGUAGUUGGUGGGGUAACGGCCCACCAAGCCGACGAUCAGUAGCCGGCCUGAGAGGGUGAACGGCCACAUUGGGACUGAGACACGGCCCAA